GCAAAGAACUGUUAUGGAGAAGAGAGAGAGAAGAAUGAAAAAAACUUAUGUCAGGAACAAAGAAAUGAAGCUUGCUGGUGUUUGAGACUCUGAUUAAGGUUUAUUUCAGCAACAUCCUCGUACUGUUACAUAAAGAUCAUCCUUGCAUCUUUAUAAUAAAUACCCAUGUUUUUGACUAACACCUCCAACUGGUUUCUGUUGCUUGUAACCAGAAGAAUUCUAAUGAAUAGUUAAGAGUCAUUUGCUUUUUGAUUUCCACUGCAUCUACUUCAUAACAGCCUGUUUCCUAGUAGAUGCUCAAUAAAUAUUUGCAAAAUUGGACUGAAGAUGGCAUUCAUUCCUCCUUGCAGGUGCUCGCCCAGCCUCUGUUUGGUACUUGCAGUGCUUCCAGCUCAUCACCUCCCAAGACGCCCCAUUAUGAGAAGCUCUGACACCUCCACGAUUUACAGACUGGAACAGACUCCCAGGAGGUCCAUUCAUCCAUUCUGCUGCCCCCUCAAAUUCAUGCUGCUCAGAGUAGGACGUGAACCACUCUGGUUAGACAUAAAGACCAAGGUAAGGAAGGUGCUAUGGCCUAAAUAUUUGUGAUCCCUGCAAAAUCCAUAUGUUGAUGUCUAAUCCCCAGUGUGAAGGAAUUAAGAGAGAUGGGGCCACUGGGAAAUGACUAGAUUGUAAAGACUUCAUCCUCAUGAAUAGAAUUCAUGCCCUCAUAAAAGAGACCCCAAAAGGCUAGAGAGCCUGUUCUACUGUAUAGGGAAGCAGAAAGAAGAUGUAAUCUAUGAGGCAGAGAGUGAGCCCUCACCAGACAUAGAUCUUAGACUUCCUAGCCUCUAGAAUGGUAAGAAGUAAAUUGCUGUUGUUUAUAAGUCACCCAGCUUAGGAAAUGUUUGUUACAGCAGCUCUAACAGACUAAGGCAGAAGAGUAUGGGGAGGGUGCAUUAUUG
rnacentral:lncRNA from 1 species